GACAGAGGAUGCAAGCGUUAUCCGGAAUGAUUGGGCGUAAAGCGUCUGUAGGUGGCUUUUUAAGUCCGCCGUCAAAUCCCAGGGCUCAACCCUGGACAGGCGGUGGAAACUACCAAGCUGGAGUACGGUAGGGGGCAGACGGGAAUUUCCGGUGGAGCGGUGAAAUGCGUAGAGAUCGGAAAGAACACCACGGCGAAAGCACUCUGCUGGGCCGACACUGACACUGAGAGCACGAAAGCUAGGGGAGCGAAUGGG
rnacentral:rRNA from 1 species